rnacentral:lncRNA from 1 species
UGGGGUUUCACCGUGUUAGCCAGGAUGAUCCCGAUCUCCUGACCUUGUGAUCUGCCCUCCUCGGCCUCCCAAAGUGCUGGGACUACAGGCGUGAGCCACCGUGCCCGGCAUAUUAUUUUAGUCAUAGGUAAAACAAGUGAGGUUGAUGGAGACAGAGAUAGCCGUGUAGCUACAAAAUGAUACAGCUACAGCUACAUUUGAGCUCUGAUUGCCUCAUUCCAAAGCCUACGCUUAUGGACUUUCUUGCCUUCUGCUACACACCACUGCUCAUGUGCUACGUUGGUGCAUGGAGCCCCAGUGUGAGUGAAAUAUAAAGUAGUGGUGUACACGUAGGGGCUGGGAAAUGGUGGACACAGGAGAUGAAGAGACAGCCUGAUACGAGUUUAUGUUGGUGCAUUGGAAGCAGAUUGUAAAGUUCCUUACUCUCCUGCUGAGGAAUGUAAACUUUAUUAGUAGGCAAGAUUACAAAAUCUUUACAAAAUACAUACUACUCUUUGAAUAGAAGAGUAAAGAGAGAGAGGACAGAGCUUAAGCAGGCUAAAGAAAGCCAGAGGCUCAAACGAGGAUCAAAGGUAAGUACUGUGCUGCAACUGUGUAAAAAAUGUAACUUAGUAUGUGGGACAAUUUUUAAAAAUCCAACUACUUAAAAAUGUCCUAGAGUUUACUUUAAAAUACCCACAGAACGGUGAAACCCCGUCUCUACCAAUACAAAAAAUUAGCCAGGCGUGGUGGCGGGCGCAUGUAGUCCCAGCUA